UGGGGAAUAUUGCACAAUGGGCGCAAGCCUGAUGCAGCCAUGCCGCGUGUAUGAAGAAGGCCUUCGGGUUGUAAAGUACUUUCAGUCGGGAGGAAGGUGGUAAGGUUAAUAACCUUAUCAAUUGACGUUACCGACAGAAGAAGCACCGGCUAACUCCGUGCCAGCAGCCGCGGUAAUACGGAGGGUGCAAGCGUUAAUCGGAAUUACUGGGCGUAAAGCGCACGCAGGCGGUCUGUCAAGUCGGAUGUGAAAUCCCCGGGCUCAACCUGGGAACUGCAUGCGAAACUGGCAGGCUAGAGUCUUGUAGAGGGGGGUAGAAUUCCAGGUGUAGCGGUGAAAUGCGUAGAGAUCUGGAGGAAGACCGGUGGCGAAGGCGGCCCCCUGGACAAAGACUGACGCUCAGGUGCGAAAGCGUGGGGAGCAAACAGG
rnacentral:rRNA from 1 species